rnacentral:rRNA from 1 species
AUUGAACGCUGGCGGAAUGCUUUACACAUGCAAGUCGAACGGCAGCACAGGGGCAACCCUGGUGGCGAGUGGCGAACGGGUGAGUAAUACAUCGGAACGUGCCCAGUCGUGGGGGAUAACGUAGCGAAAGCUACGCUAAUACCGCAUACGAACUCAGGUUGAAAGCGGGGGAUCGCAAGACCUCGCGCGAUUGGAGCGGCCGAUGGCAGAUUAGGUAGUUGGUGGGGUAAAGGCUCACCAAGCCGACGAUCUGUAGCCGGUCUGAGAGUACGACCAGCCACACGGGGACUGAGACACGGCCCAGACUCCUACGGGAGGCAGCAGUGGGGAAUUUUGGACAAUGGGCGCAAGCCUGAUCCAGCCAUUUCGCGUGCAGGAUGAAGGCCCUCGGGUUGUAAACUGCUUUUGUACGGAACGAAACGGCCUGGGUUAAUACCUCGGGCUAAUGACGGUACCGUAAGAAUAAGCACCGGCUAACCACGUGCCAGCAGCCGCCGUAAAAC